UUAAUUGAAACCAAAAUAAGAGGUAUAUCACUGUUAAUGAUACCAUUGGAAUAUCCCCAAUUAAA
rnacentral:tRNA from 1 species